AAGGAAUUGACGGGCCGCACAAGCGGUGGAGUAUGUGGUUUAAUUCGAUGCAACGCGAAGAACCUUACCUGGUCUUGACAUCCCGGAGACCCUUAGGAAACUAGGGGGUGCUUCCAUCUGGAAGAAUCUGGAGACAGGUGCUGCAUGGCUGUCGUCAGCUCGUGUCGUGAGAUGUUGGGUUAAGUCCCGCAACGAGCGCAACCCUUGCCUUUAGUUGCCAGCAGUUCGGCUGGGCACUCUAAAGGGACUGCCGGUGUUAAACCGGAGGAAGGUGGGGAUGACGUCAAGUCCUCAUGGCCUUUAUGACCAGGGCUACACACGUACUACAAUGGCCGAUACAAAGGGCAGCGACACUGCGAGGUGAAGCCAAUCCCGUAAAAUCGGUCUCAGUCCGGAUUGGAGUCUGCAACUCGACUCCAUGAAGUUGGAAUCGCUAGUAAUCGUGGAUCAGCAUGCCACGGUGAAUACGUUCCCGGGCCUU
rnacentral:rRNA from 1 species